rnacentral:rRNA from 1 species
GACGAACGCUGGCGGCGUGCUUAACACAUGCAAGUCGAGCGGUAAGGCCCUUUCGGGGGUACGACGAGCGGCGAACGGGUGAGUAACACGUGGGUGACCUGCCCUCAGCUCUGGGAUAAGCCUGGGAAACCGGGUCUAAUACUGGAUAUGACUCCAUGACGCAUGUUGUGGGGUGGAAAGCCUUGUGCGGCUGAGGAUGGGCCCGCGGCCUAUCAGCUUGUUGGUGGGGUGAGGCCUACCAAGGCGACGACGGGUAGCCGGCCUGAGAGGGCGACCGGCCACACUGGGACUGAGACACGGCCCAGACUCCUACGGGAGGGCAGCAGUGGGGAAGUCUUGCGCAAUGGGCGAAAGCCUGACGCAGCGACGCCGCGUGAGGGAUGACGGCC